rnacentral:snoRNA from 1 species
UGGGCCGGACCGCCGCGCCGGCGGCAGAAUGAGCGGCCCGCCCGCGGCCGAGCCAAACA